rnacentral:rRNA from 1 species
GAGUUUGAUCGUGGCUCAGGACGAACGCUGGCGGCGUGCUUAACACAUGCAAGUCGAACGGAGCGAAAUGGAAGCUUGCUUCUAUGGAGCUUAGUGGCGAACGGGUGAGUAACGCGUAAUCAACCUGCCCUUCAGAGGGGGACAACAGUUGGAAACGACUGCUAAUACCGCAUACGAUUCAACUUCGGCAUCGAGGAUGAAUGAAAGGUGGCCUCUAUUUAUAAGCUAUCGCUGAAGGAGGGGAUUGCGUCUGAUUAGCUAGUUGGAGGGGUAACGGCCCACCAAGGCGAUGAUCAGUAGCCGGUCUGAGAGGAUGAACGGCCACAUUGGGACUGAGACACGGCCCAGACUCCUACGGGAGGCAGCAGUGGGGAAUCUUCCGCAAUGGACGAAAGUCUGACGGAGCAACGCCGCGUGAGUGAUGACGGCC